GGAGUUUGGGCCGUGUCUCAGUCCCAAUGUGGCCGUACACCCUCUCAGGCCGGCUACUGAUCGUCGCCUUGGUGGGCCGUUACCUCACCAACUAGCUAAUCAGACGCGGGUCCAUCCUAUACCACCGGAGUUUUUCACACUGCAACAUGCGAUGCUGUGUGCUUAUGCGGUAUUAUCAGUCGUUUCCAACUGCUAUCCCCCAGUAUAGGGCAGGUUACCCACGCGUUACUCACCCGUCCGCCACUAAGCUUAAACGAAAAGCAAGCUUUCCAAAUAAGCUCCGUUCGACUUGCAUGUGUUAAGCACGCCGCCAGCGUUCAUC
rnacentral:rRNA from 1 species